AGUAACGCGUGAGGAACCUGCCUUUCAGAGGGGGACGAACAGUUGGAAACGACUGCUAAUACCGCAUAACGCACGGGUAUCGCAUGGUAUCUGUGCCAAAGAUUUAUCGCUGAGAGAUGGCCUCGCGUCUGAUUAGCUAGUUGGUGAGGUAACGGCCCACCAAGGCGACGAUCAGUAGCCGGACUGAGAGGUUGGCCGGCCACAUUGGGACUGAGAUACGGCCCAGACUCCUACGGGAGGCAGCAG
rnacentral:rRNA from 1 species